UUCGAUGCAACGCGAAGAACCUUACCUGGUCUUGACAUCCCGGAGACCCUUAGGAAACUAGGGGGUGCUUCCAUCUGGAAGAAUCUGGAGACAGGUGCUACAUGGCUGUCGUCAGCUCGUGUCGUGAGAUGUUGGGUUAAGUCCCGCAACGAGCGCAACCCUUGCCUUUAGUUGCCAGCAGUUCGGCUGGGCACUCUAAAGGGACUGCCGGUGUUAAACCGGAGGAAGGUGGGGAUGACGUCAAGUCCUCAUGGCCUUUAUGACCAGGGCUACACACGUACUACAAUGGCCGAUACAAAGGGCAGCGACACUGCGAGGCGAAGCCAAUCCCGUAAAAUCGGUCUCAGUCCGGAUUGGAGUCUGCAACUCGACUCCAUGAAGUUGGAAUCGCUAGUAAUCGUGGAUCAGCAUGCCACGGUGAAUACGUUCCCGGGCCUU
rnacentral:rRNA from 1 species